GGAAAACAACUACGGCUGCGGUGUGGUUGGUGGUGAGAUGACGACCUUAGUGCUGGAUAAUGGAGCUUACAACGCCAAAAUCGGUUACAGCCAUGAAAAUGUGUCGUAAGUACUUUCUUUCUCCGAGGGACAAGAUAUAUACGCCUAGUGGUUUCAUGUGCUACGUUUCAUCUCCGGACAUCAAUGAACUGCAGACACCCCCGCGCGGCCCUGACUUAGCCAGAGGGAUUCCCUGGUUGGAGCUGGGGUUAUUCCUAAUUGUCAGUUCCGGUCAAAAACAGCACGUCUUAAAACUUUUACUGCCAACCAGAUAGAUGAAAUAAAAGACCCUUCUGGACUCUUUUACAUCCUCCCUUUUCAAAAGGGCUACUUGGUGAAUUGGGAUGUUCAGAGACAAGUUUGGGAUUACCUUUUUGGAAAAGAAAUGUAUCAGGUUGAUUUUUUAGAUACUAAUAUUAUUAUCACUGAACCAUACUUUAACUUCACUUCAAUUCAAGAAUCAAUGAAUGAAAUUCUAUUUGAAGAAUACCAGUUUCAAGCAGUAUUAAGAGUAAAUGCUGGGGCUCUCAGUGCACAUAGGUAUUUCCGAGAUAAUCCUUCCGAAUUAUGCUGUAUCAUUGUUGAUAGUGGAUAUUCCUUUACACAUAUAGUUCCUUAUUGUAGAAGUAAAAAGAAAAAAGAAGCAAUUAUUCGGAUAAAUGUGGGAGGAAAACUCUUAACCAAUCAUCUAAAGGAGAUCAUAUCUUACAGGCAGCUACAUGUUAUGGAUGAAACACAUGUGAUUAAUCAAGUGAAAGAAGAUGUAUGCUAUGUGUCUCAGGAUUUUUAUAGAGACAUGGAUAUUGCAAAGUUGAAAGGAGAAGAAAAUACAGUAAUGAUAGACUAUGUCUUGCCUGACUUCAGUACAAUUAAAAAGGGCUUUUGUAAGCCAAGGGAAGAGAUGGUGUUGAGUGGAAAAUACAAAUCUGGGGAACAAAUUCUUCGUUUGGCCAAUGAGAGAUUUGCUGUUCCGGAAAUACUCUUUAAUCCUUCUGAUAUAGGCAUUCAAGAAAUGGGAAUUCCAGAAGCUAUUGUCUAUUCAAUUCAAAAUCUACCUGAAGAAAUGCAGCCGCAUUUUUUUAAGAACAUUGUCUUGACAGGAGGAAAUUCCCUUUUCCCAGGAUUUAGGGAUCGGGUUUACUCAGAAGUUCGAUGUCUUACUCCAACAGAUUAUGAUGUUUCUGUUGUGCUGCCUGAAAACCCUAUUACUUAUGCCUGGGAAGGUGGAAAAUUGAUAUCAGAGAAUGAUGAUUUUGAAGAUAUGGUGGUAACAAGAGAAGAUUACGAAGAAAAUGGACAUAGCGUCUGUGAAGAGAAAUUUGAUAUUUAAGCAACAUUUUUGAAUGAAAGUUGUGACCAUAAGGUUUAAUUUCAAAGUUCCUUUUAAAAGAGGUUAAGGAACUGUGUUACCUUUUGUCCUAAGAAAAAGGCUUGAAUUUAUGUAAAUACUUUGAUCGAUUGCUAAUUUUCAAAGGCUUCUUAGGUAGGUUACUACAGUAAACUGUAACUCAGUCCACAUUUUCAUUUAGGAGCUAGACUACCAUAACAAUGCUUAUGCUGUUUCCAAGGGUAGGUUAUUUUUCAUUAAAAGAAGAAUGAAUGCAUUUUAAGUUUAAUUCUUCAUAGCUGAAAGCACAAAUUUAACGGCUUCACUGGACAGUUUUCCUUAGAAGGUAGUUUUGUGUGACUGUGACUAAACUAUUUUAUUUUAAAAUGUCAUUCUUAUUUAUACAUUCUAAAGUUGGAAAGACUGAUCUUAUAUGUGUAUAAUGUUUAUUUUGUACCUAGAGUACAUUUAAAAGGGUGGAGACUAAGCUAAUAAAGUUUUUUUGGCCACUA